CCUACGGGAGGCAGCAGUGGGGAAUAUUGGACAAUGGGCGAAAGCCCGAUCCAGCAAUGCCGCGUGAGUGAUGAAGGCCUUCGGGUCGUAAAGCUCUUUUACCAGGGAUGAUAAUGACAGUACCUGGAGAAUAAGCUCCGGCUAACUCCGUGCCAGCAGCCGCGGUAAUACGGAGGGAGCUAGCGUUGUUCGGAAUUACUGGGCGUAAAGAGUACGUAGGCGGUUAUUCAAGUCAGAGGUGAAAGCCCGGGGCUCAACCCCGGAACUGCCUUUGAAACUAGAUAACUAGAGUCUUGGAGAGGUUAGUGGAAUUCCGAGUGUAGAGGUGAAAUUCGUAGAUAUUCGGAAGAACACCAGUGGCGAAGGCGACUAACUGGACAAGUACUGACGCUGAGGUACGAAAGCGUGGGGAGCAAACAGGAUUAGAUACCCUGGUAGUCCACGCCGUAAACGAUGAUAACUAGUUGUUCGGUCACUUGGUGACUGAGUGACGCAGCUAACGCAUUAAGUUAUCCGCCUGGGGAGUACGGUCGCAAGAUUAAAACUCAAAAGGAAAUUGACGGCNGAGAAGUGCGAGAGACACGAGGAGAGG
rnacentral:rRNA from 1 species